CUCUUGAGUUUGUGCGGUUUGAGCAUGCGGCAAGGACGCUCCCCCGUGCCCGUGCCCGUGCCCGUGCCCGUGCCCGUGCCCCACUUGGAUUUCUAGACUCUGCUGCUGUAAAUCACCAUACAGUCUACUCAGCUGUCGCAGCGUACACGGAGCAGGUACAAGUCGUGGCGACUUGCUGUCGCUAGAAUAAAAGUCACCUCGAAGCCCGGUGCUUCUCUACCACAGAAGCUGUGAUAACGUAUUAAGGACGUUUCUAAGAAUGUGACGAAGAGAUGAUGUUAGAAAUUUCUGUGGCAGAAGGCCCAGCCAUCCCCGCUCUCUCCGUUUAGAACAGAGUGCACGAGUAGUUACAGAAAUAAAUGGAAUGGAUUUUACAUCUGGAGCUAAAGGCUGGGGUCCACGUUGGUUAAGCCUUCCCUACCUUCAACACAGAUGCUAUCACAAAGAUGGAUUCACAGUCAAGGUGGACUUCGAUUCCAGAAUUCAGUUUCUCCUUUAGCUCUCUGCAAGAUUUCAUGUUGGCCGACUGCCUGAAGAUGCCUUUUGUGAGGGGGCCUUUUUGGUUAAGGAAGGAAAGCAUAUCCUGCAAGGAAGCGGAGGAAAUACACUAAAGUGGGUGCUUUACACACGCCAGCACAGGAGCAGGUGCUGGCCUUCUGAGGCACUCAGAAGGCCGGGGUGUAUACACCGAAGGACUGGAGCUGGACGGAUGGCUAGAAGGAUUCAAAUGGCAUUUUUUUUUUAAACCUACAACAGAUUUUCUUUAUUGGACAGUUGAUGACAUAAUAUUGUUCUCCCACUAAAAUCAUGUCUCAACCCCCACCCCACCCCCACCGAAUACAUAUACACCAAAACAGAGACACAUGCGCACUGGCUUGCAAGGGAAUCGGGCUCUGGAUCCGACUUCACUUCUUAUUAGCCUGAGCAGUACCAAUGACACACUGGUUCACCUUGGAAGCAAAGCGUAGUGAACUCAGACUCGGAGACAUUCUCUUCCAGAGGAGAACUAUUCACAAACAUGAGCCUUGGCACUGCCACCCAGAGGGUUCUGCAGCAGGUAGGCAAACUUGCUGUUUCGGUAAGGCACGUCAAAUGACAUUUUUAGAACAUAGAGUUGUUAUCAUCGGAGGCCAUGGAGCUAGGACCUGGUCUAAGAAAAUGUACGAUCACAACAUUUAUUGUAUAACCUGCUGAGUAUAGUUAAUAGGCAUGCAAUCUUAAAAACUUCAGAGAAUAGAGUUUAAGCGUUCUCCAAAUUUGCUUUCUAUCUGCGUGUCUUCUGCAUCCAGUAUAGAAGACAAUGGUGUGUGGAGACAAGCAAUCCAUAAGAUCUGGAAGCCGAUUUCCUGUGCAAUCUGAGUUAGGGUCCGUGUUUUACUUUUAAAUUCAUAAAGUAAGGGUGAUGAUAAGUACCUGUAAACUUUACUCUGGAGGAUGAACAAGAUAAUAAAGCGUCUGCCACAGUGCCUGGCAUUUAUGGAUGU
rnacentral:lncRNA from 1 species